rnacentral:lncRNA from 1 species
CCACAGGGACCAGGACCCUGGAAGGCAGAGCAGAGCAGAGAGGCUGCUCCGCCUCAAGAGGCUGCCUGGGGUCAGGGGAGCGGGGAGCCCUGGCAAGUGAAGAACCAAGUGGGUGUGGGGACAGCGCAGGCCUCCGCAGCUGCACAGGCGGUGUCCGGCACCUGUGGGGGGGGGGGGGGUGAGCGAGAGGAGCUGCUUUCCAGAGGCUCGUUGGAGCCUGAGCCGGGGCUUGUGGCUCAGGCCAGGCCAGGGAGCGCAGCUGGUGCCGCCCUGGAGUGCCCCGUGGGCCCGUGGGGAGGGGGCCAGAGCAGGGGGGGUCAGGAGCAGGGGGUGGGCCCGGGAGCAGAGGGGGGGGAGGGGCCGGGAGCAGGAGGUGGGGGCCUGGAGCAGGAUGGGCGGGGGGGGGGGGGCCAGGAGCAGAGGGGGGGGCAGGGGGGGCCUGGAGCAGAGGCGGGGGGGGGGGGGGGGGCGCCGGGAGCAGAGGCAGGGGGCGGGAGCGGGGGGGGGGGCCUGGAGCAGAGGCGGGGGUGGCUCCGGGAGCAGAAGCGGGGGGGGGGGGGGCUGGGGGGGGCCGGGAGCAGAGGAGGGGGGCGCCGGGAGCGGGGCGGUGGGGGGGCCGGGAACAGGUGGGGCCUGGAGCAGAGGCGGGGGGGGGGGGGGCGCCGGAAGCAGAGGCAGGAGGGGGGGGUAACAGGGGGCGCCGGGAGCAGAGGCGGGGGGGGGGGGGGGGGCGGGAGGAGGGGGGGGGCCUCCUGGAGCAGAGGCGCUGGGGGCUCCGGGAGCAGAGGCGCUGGGGAGAGCCGGGAGCAGAGGCGGGAGGGGGGUAGCAAGGGGGGGCCAGGAGCAGAGGCUGGGGGCGGGAGCAGGGGGGGGCCUGGAGCAGAGGCGGGGGUGGCUCCGGGAGCAGAAGCGGGGUGGGGGGCCGGGAGCGGGGGGGGGGCCGGGAGCACGAGGGGGGCCGGGAGCGGAGAGGGGCCCGGGAGCAGAGGCGGGGGGUUGGGGGGGGGCAAGGUGCGGCGAAGUGAAGGGCUCCUCCGGGAGCAGACGGGGCCCCCCACGAGGCCACGGGCCCUGGCCCUAUCCAUCCCAGGCACGUCCCUAAGGUCACAGUUCAAAGUGUGCUCCUCACGCGGUUUCCCGCGGGUGCCACCCGCGCAGCAGCGGCGCCAGGCCCGCUCCCCGGGGGAGGAACCCCGCCCCGGCCCGCCCCGCCCCGCCCCCUCCGGCCCCACCACCGCUCCGCCCCGAGGGAGGGACCCCGCCCCGCCCUGCACCGCCCCGGGAGAGGGACCCCGCCCCCCUCCGCCCCCCUCCGCCCCCCUCCGCCCCGCCUUCCCCUCCGCCUGCCCCGCGCGGCCCUGGGGGCGGGGACAGCACGACCUUCCGGCGACGGGGCGGCCGCGGUGA